rnacentral:lncRNA from 1 species
CUGGGAUGCGCAGCCGCAUAAGAGAGCGCGCGGGUCUCCAGAGCCUGAGCUAGUCAGAAGCAACAGUUGCUACUGCGUCCCCCGGACAUUGGGAGAAUCGUUUUCCUUGGGCAGCUGGUUCCAGACCCCCACCAGUCCUCUAGACUCCAGGCCAAUCAGUUGCUAAGGGACGUUCCUCUCUCAACCUGCACUUAUCAACAUUUUAAGCUAUAAAUUCGUCUGCAUUUCUUCAUCGUCUGUCUAUGUAGACCAUGACUCCACGGAGGCAGGGAGCAGAAGAUUUAUACAGAAUUUCUAUUCAUGCAAUGGAAUACCACAGGCGUCCUACAGGAGGAUAAGAACAGUCUAUGCUGUUGCUGCCAAAUGACCUCUGAGAUCCUUCAGGGACCCAGGCGUCCUGGCCCAGCACUCACAGGAGACACUGAGUUGGAUGGUUCUCUCCGUGGUCACACCAGCUCCGGGGAACGUCACUCGACAGAUUGACCCUCAUGGGCCAGAGAUGCCAGAGACUCGCCCAGAGAUGGGAGGAGAUGGAGCAGAAUCUGAGUCUUGCCUUCCAGGAGCACCAGAGCCUGGAUCAGUACCUUCGGGGCCAUCUGAGACAUGCGAACCCCAUGUCUAAAGUCCUUCCACUCUGAGGUGCUUUUCUGUGCACAACUGUUUACACCAGGCAGCUGGUCACUCCAGGCCUGGCCCGAGUCACGGCCUCUUCUUGACCUGUGGGGUGGUUCGUCCUGCAGGAUAUAGGUUUCUGUAGGGUUCAUGUAAGUGUCUGGGGCAGAAGAAAUGAAGAAGGGUCCUAGAUGUGGUGAAGGUGACAGUCAUUCAUUCAUUCAAUUCAUUCAUUCAUUCAUUCACCUAAGCUAUACCGAGCAUCUAUGUGCCAAUGAGGCUGGAGACAAGAAGAGAUGCCACUGACCUGGUCCCUCCCCUUUAGAUACUCCCCAUCCAUAGCCUCAUGUUCACCACACACAAAUACUGUUUGGCUUCACAGCUGUGGAUGCUGGUGACUUUGCCAUAUGUCAUGGUAUCAUAUGAGGUAUUUUUAAGAAGUAUGACUAUGGAUUUUUUCCCCUGGCAGUUAGUACACUGAUUUGCAAUGUUUCAGCGACAUCUCUAAAAUAAGAAACAUGUAGUAUUUUCAUGUAAAACGAAAGCUUCUGUGAACAAGUCCAGAAGAAAUUUCUUUUCCAUUAGUGUUGCCAUUCCCUGCAGUGGGGACAGCAGCAAUUUUUUUAUGGGGCUUACCAUAGAGAUUAGCAUUUUCUUUCAUGUAAAAAUACAUUUCUGAUAAUUAAAUGAGGCCCAAAGACAUAAUGUUUCCAGACAAUAUGAGUUGAAUGUACAGACAAAAUUAAAAUUUAGCUUCAGCUCAUAUGGUUUUUUAUUUUACUCUCUGUGGUACACACCUGGGAGAUCCUCAAUGCCUGAGACAUAUCAGUAUUUGCAACCAUAUACAGGUAAAAUCUCUAUACACAGUAGUAUCUAUAAAAAUGUUCAUUCAUCCUACCUACCAUAGAGAGGUAUUUCCAUCCUCUUUUUAAAUAUAAGGAAGUGAGUCCUCAAUAGAUAAAACAAUAUCUUG